UAUUAUAUUUAUUACUGUCGUUAUUACUGUCGUUAUUACUGUCGUUAUUAAUGUUUUUAUUAUUGUCGUUAUUAAUGUUUUUAUUAUUGUCGUUAUUAUUGUCGUUAUUAAUGUUUUUAUUAAUGUUUUUAUUGUUUUGUUGGGUGUUUAACAUAACAAUUUGGGAUGCAUUUUUAUUUUGAUUUUGUUUUAAUUUCUCGUUUUUAUGUUGUACAUUUAUUUGAUUAUUUUGUUUUUCGUUAUAAUUAUAUUUUCCGUACAUUGUAUUUUUUUUACUAAUGUUACUAUAGUUAUUAUUGUAAACAUUUGCUUUUAAUCGUGUGUUUUUAUUGGAUGAUUUAUUAUUCAUAUUGUAAUUAUUAUUACUGUUAUUAUUAUUAUUAUUACUGUUAUAAUUAUAAUUAUUACUAUUAUUAUAAUUAUUACUAUUAUUAUAAUUAUUAUUAUUAUUAUUAUAAUUAUUACUAUUAUUAUUAUUAUUAUUAUUAUUAUAAUUAUUACUAUUAUUAUAAUUAUUAUAAUUAUAAUUAUUAUUACUAUUAUUAUAAUUAUUAUUAUUAUAAUUAUUAUUACUAUUAUUAUAAUUAUUAUUAUUAUUAUUAUUAUUAUAAUUAUAAUUAUUACUAUUAUUAUUAUUAUAAUUAUAAUUAUUACUAUUAUUAUUAUUACUAUUAUUACUAAUAUAAUUAUAAUUAUUACUAUUAUUAUUAUUACUAUUAUUAUUAUUAUUAUAAUUUUUCAUUUGUUUUUCUUCAUUUUUUUUUUUAUUCUUCUCUUUCUUUUUUCUUUCGUCCUUGUUGUUAUCCAUUCCGUUCUUCCUAUAUAUAUUAUUAACGUUAUUGUUAUUGUUAUUGUUAUUGUUCUUGUUAUUGUUGUUAUUGUUUUUGUAGUUCUUAUUGUUGUUGUAGUGCUUAUUAUUCGAGUUCUUAUUGUUGUAGAUUCCAUUACUAAUGUUAUUAUUGUUAUUAUUACUGUUAAUGUUAUUAUUACUGUUAAUGUUAUUAUUGUUAUUAUCAUUAAUGUGCUUACCAACUCCGUCGUAUAUAUAAUUAUCUUCCCCAUCAGUAUUUUUCAUUUUUACUUCUCCAUUCUCACAUGGUACAGUUUCUGUUUUUUCACUGUUAUAUAAACAACUUGUUACAUUUAUAUUUCCUCCUGUACCUGUAUUACUUUUUUCUAAUAAUAUUUCUGGUAUUCUAGGUACUCUUAAUUCAUCUAAUGUAUGCGCAAAACGACAUGUAUGACCAUUAAGGCAAGUUUUAUUUGCAAAAAAAUUUGCACAUAGAAGAUUUAUAUGCAAAUAAAUUUUGUGCAGAUUUAAGCUCCUCUUGAUUA
rnacentral:lncRNA from 1 species